UACAGAGGGGGCGAGCGUUAUUCGGAAUUAUUGGGCGGAAAGGGCGCGUAGGCGGCUUUUCAAGUGACGGGUGAAAUCCCUCGGCUUAACCGAGGAACUGCCUGUCAGACUGGAAGGCUUGAGACCGGGAGAGGUGAGUGGAAUUCCCAGUGUAGCGGUGAAAUGCGUAGAUAUUGGGAGGAACACCAGUGGCGAAGGCGGCUCACUGGACCGGAACUGACGCUGAGGCGCGAAAGCGUGGGGAGCAAACAGG
rnacentral:rRNA from 1 species